rnacentral:lncRNA from 1 species
UAAUGAAACGUUUGCUUACGCCGGUGCUCUUUUGUUAUUUUUUUUUCAUUAAGACCAAAAGCGAACUUUGAAAGUUAAAACUUUUUAAAAGAAAAAUCAAUACUUUUGAAAUUAAGUUACCAAAAAAGAACGAUGGAUUUAGUCCAAAAUUUAAAAGAUGAAAAUCGAAUAUCUUACCACAAGGAUUCACUGAUUCAAAAUAGAUGGCCUUCAUAUUACUUUACAUGCAGACCAAACUCCAUAUUUAAAAUCAAUUAAUUACCACACUAAAAAUAAUGGCAAUUGGUUUUCGUUUCAAAAUUGUGGUCCGGCAACAAAAACUCGUGUGAUCGGUUUUGCAUAUA